GAUGAAGCCCACUUGUGGGUGGAUUAGUGGCGAACGGGUGAGUAACACGUGAGUAACCUGCCCUUGACUCUGGGAUAAGCCUGGGAAACUGGGUCUAAUACCGGAUAUGACUGAUCAUCGCAUGGUGGUUGGUGGAAAGCUUUUUGUGGUUUUGGAUGGACUCGCGGCCUAUCAGCUUGUUGGUGAGGUAAUGGCUUACCAAGGCGACGACGGGUAGCCGGCCUGAGAGGGUGACCGGCCACACUGGGACUGAGACACGGCCCAGACUCCUACGGGAGGCAGCAGUGGGGAAUAUUGCACAAUGGGCGCAAGCCUGAUGCAGCGACGCCGCGUGAGGGAUGACGGCCUUCGGGUUGUAAACCUCUUUCAGUAGGGAAGAAGCGAAAGUGACGGUACCUGCAGAAGAAGCGCCGGCUAACUACGUGCCAGCAGCCGCGGUAAUACGUAGGGCGCAAGCGUUAUCCGGAAUUAUUGGGCGUAAAGAGCUCGUAGGCGGUUUGUCGCGUCUGCCGUGAAAGUCCGGGGCUCAACUCCGGAUCUGCGGUGGGUACGGGCAGACUAGAGUGAUGUAGGGGAGACUGGAAUUCCUGGUGUAGCGGUGAAAUGCGCAGAUAUCAGGAGGAACACCGAUGGCGAAGGCAGGUCUCUGGGCAUUAACUGACGCUGAGGAGCGAAAGCAU
rnacentral:rRNA from 1 species